AUGCUUCUCCUAAAGACUAAGCCAUGCAUGUCUUCGAAUAAGAGGAAGCAAUUCUCUCUGAAUCUGCGAACGGCUCCGCAAACCAGUUGUAAACUAUAGCAAGUUCGCCCGGGCUUCCCCUUCACGGGGGGGGUUCGGCUAUACGGAUAACCCUGGUAAUUCUGAGGCUAAUACGAGAACGUACUCCCUGGCUGACCGGGCAACUGGAAGGCUGGGGGACGUGCGAGUGUUUUCGCGAUUUAUACCGGGAAAGGACG
rnacentral:rRNA from 1 species